rnacentral:rRNA from 2 species
UCGUCACACUAUCAUUAACUGAAUCCAUAGGUUAAUGAGGCGAACCGGGGGAACUGAAACAUCUAAGUACCCCGAGGAAAAGAAAUCAACCGAGAUUCCCCCAGUAGCGGCGAGCGAACGGGGAGGAGCCCAGAGCCUGAAUCAGCAUGUGUGUUAGUGGAAGCGUCUGGAAAGUCGCGCGAUACAGGGUGACAGCCCCGUACACAAAAGCGCAUGUGCUGUGAGCUCGAUGAGUAGGGCGGGACACGUGGUAUCCUGUCUGAAUAUGGGGGGACCAUCCUCCAAGGCUAAAUACUCCUGACUGACCGAUAGUGAACCAGUACCGUGAGGGAAAGGCGAAAAGAACCCCGGCGAGGGGAGUGAAAAAGAACCUGAAACCGUGUACGUACAAGCAGUGGGAGCACCCUUUGGGGUGUGACUGCGUACCUUUUGUAUAAUGGGUCAGCGACUUAUAUUCUGUAGCAAGGUUAACCGAAUAGGGGAGCCGGAGGGAAACCGAGUCUUAAUUGGGCGUUAAGUUGCAGGGUAUAGACCCGAAACCCGGUGAUCUAGCCAUGGGCAGGUUGAAGGUUGGGUAACACUAACUGGAGGACCGAACCGACUAAUGUUGAAAAAUUAGCGGAUGACCUGUGGCUGGGGGUGAAAGGCCAAUCAAACCGGGAGAUAGCUGGUUCUCCCCGAAAGCUAUUUAGGUAGCGCCUCGUGAAUUCAUCUCCGGGGGUAGAGCACUGUUUCGGCUAGGGGGCCAUCCCGGCUUACCAACCCGAUGCAAACUGCGAAUACCGGAGAAUGUUAUCACGGGAGACACACGGCGGGUGCUAACGUCCGUCGUGAAGAGGGAAACAACCCAGACCGCCAGCUAAGGUCCCAAAGUCAUGGUUAAGUGGGAAACGAUGUGGGAAGGCCCAGACAGCCAGGAUGUUGGCUUAGAAGCAGCCACCAUUUAAAGAAAGCGUAAUAGCUCACUGGUCGAGUCGGCCUGCGCGGAAGAUGUAACGGGGCUAAACCAUGCACCGAAGCUGCGGCAGCGACACUGUGUGUUGUUGGGUAGGGGAGCGUUCUGUAAGCCUGUGAAGGUGUGUCGUGAGGCAUGCUGGAGGUAUCAGAAGUGCGAAUGCUGACAUAAGUAACGAUAAAGCGGGUGAAAAGCCCGCUCGCCGGAAGACCAAGGGUUCCUGUCCAACGUUAAUCGGGGCAGGGUGAGUCGACCCCUAAGGCGAGGCCGAAAGGCGUAGUCGAUGGGAAACGGGUUAAUAUUCCCGUACUUGGUGUUACUGCGAAGGGGGGACGGAGAAGGCUAUGUUGGCCGGGCGACGGUUGUCCCGGUUUAAGCGUGUAGGCUGGUUUUCCAGGCAAAUCCGGAAAAUCAAGGCUGAGGCGUGACGACGAGGCACUACGGUGCUGAAGCAACAAAUGCCCUGCUUCCAGGAAAAGCCUCUAAGCAUCAGGUAACACGAAAUCGUACCCCAAACCGACACAGGUGGUCAGGUAGAGAAUACCAAGGCGCUUGAGAGAACUCGGGUGAAGGAACUAGGCAAAAUGGUGCCGUAACUUCGGGAGAAGGCACGCUGAUAUGUAGGUGAAGCGGUUUACCCGUGGAGCUGAAAUCAGUCGAAGAUACCAGCUGGCUGCAACUGUUUAUUAAAAACACAGCACUGUGCAAACACGAAAGUGGACGUAUACGGUGUGACGCCUGCCCGGUGCCGGAAGGUUAAUUGAUGGGGUCAGCGCAAGCGAAGCUCCUGAUCGAAGCCCCGGUAAACGGCGGCCGUAACUAUAACGGUCCUAAGGUAGCGAAAUUCCUUGUCGGGUAAGUUCCGACCUGCACGAAUGGCGUAAUGAUGGCCAGGCUGUCUCCACCCGAGACUCAGUGAAAUUGAACUCGCUGUGAAGAUGCAGUGUACCCGCGGCAAGACGGAAAGACCCCGUGAACCUUUACUAUAGCUUGACACUGAACAUUGAGCCUUGAUGUGUAGGAUAGGUGGGAGGCUUUGAAGUGUGGACGCCAGUCUGCAUGGAGCCGACCUUGAAAUACCACCCUUUAAUGUUUGAUGUUCUAACGUGGACCCGU